rnacentral:tRNA from 1 species
CAGAGAAUAGUUUAAGUAAAAUAUUAGUUUUGGGGAUUAAUGAUGGGGGUAUUCCUUUUCUCUGA